CUUGCGUUAAUGUACGCUAACUUGUUUUAUCUCUGCUGCUUUCUGCCCUCGUCUUUGAAGAUGGUCAUUGUCCGGUUGGAACACCCAACUGCACCCAAGACCCAACCUCCGGGCUGAGGGUUUUAGCUUGUCCUGAAGAAUUUGGAGAUACUAACCCAAAUUGAAGAAAUGCAUCAAAAUAAAAGUCUCCGGAAAACGUAUGUCAACGAGUCCGACUGAUGACCGACGUGGUCAAUGUCCUCACGAACCAGUCUCAAAAGCUUAGUACUCCAUAACGCUUGGCCAUCACUCCAGCAGCACUGAGAGCGGACUCGGCCAAGCCGGUUUUAGGUAAUGUAGCAAUUUUCAAUGCCAACUAAGAAAAAAACACUCAAAAAUGCAAUACAAAAAAACCCAGGAUAUAAAAACUGGUCAGAAUUGAUCAUAAUCAGCUAAAAAAUUAGAUUUUAUUUUGAAAACUAUUUCUUAACACAUAAAAGUACCAAAAAUGAUCAUAAUGUUGAAAGGUUUUAUUAUACAAUGAACUUAACAUUCAUGUUUUAAUUGCACAAUUAAUAUAAUAUGUAUGUUUUAGACUUAGACUUCCUUUUUAUUGACAUUCAAUUUUGAACUUUACAGCACAGAUAAGAAUAAAAUUUCGUUGCAUAAGCUCAUGGUAGUGCAGGGAAAAAAAGCAAUAAGGUGCAUAUAUAAUUAAAUAAAUAUAUAUAAAUGUAUAUAAAUAAUAUAGAAAUAUAUAUAUAUAAUAAAUAAAUAUAUAUAAAUAAAUAGAAAUAUGUAUGUUUUAGUAUGCAAUUACCACAUAAUGCCUAUUUUAUUAUACAAUUAACAUACCAUGCAUGUUUAAAUAUAAAAAUAAUCAUAACUUACAUGUUUUUAUUCCACAUAACAAAUAAUGUAGAUGUUUUUAUAAUGCAAUAAACAUUUUAAUAUCAACGUUUUAGUACAGAUUGAACAUAACGUGCAUGUUUUUGAAUUUCACAAUUCCCAUAACCAUUUUAACAAAAUUGUGGUUAUGAUUACGCUGCUAAUUUUGGUCAAAAUAUAAAUAUAUAUGACAUAAAACCACGGGGAAGACCCAGAACACGUUGGGAAGACCAUGUCUCCCGGAUGGCCUGGGAACGCCUCGGGAUCCCCCGGGAGGAGCUGGACGAAGUGGCUGGGGAGAGGGAGGUCUGGGCUUCCCUGCUUAGGCUGCUGCCCCCGCGACCCAACCUCGGAUAAGCCAAAGAAGAUGGAUGGAUGGAUAAAACGUUCAUAUUUGAACAUCCCUAAUACAAACACUUGGCCGUCACUCCAGCAGCACUGAGAGCGGACACUUUUCAAUGUCAACAAAGAAAUACACUCAAAAAUGUACGUAGUAAAAAAAAUAUAAUAUAUAACUGGUCGAAAGUUACCAUAAUCAGCUCAAAAAAUUAGUAUUUUCUUCAUAAAAAAUAUUAAUAUUUAUAUUAACACACACAAAAAUAUCAAAAAUUAUCAUAACGUUGACGGUUUUAUUAUAAAAUGAACAUGACGUGCAUGUUUUAAUUGCACAAUUAAUAUAAAAUGUAUGUUUUAGUGUGCAUUUACCAUAUUAUGCUUAUUUUAUUAUACAAUUACAUAACAUGCAUGUUUGAAUAUAGAAAUGAUCAUAUGUGACAUGUUUUUAUUCCACAAAGCAAAUAACAUUGAUGUUUUUAUAAUGCAAUAAAUAUCAUAAUAUCAACGUUUUUAAUUGACAAUACACAUAAUGUGUUUGUUUUAUAACAUAAUUAACAGUUUCAUGCAUGUUUUUACUAGACAUUAGAAAAAAAAUCAUGUUUUAUUACACAUUAAACAUAACGUGCAUGUUUUUAAAUUUCACAAUUACCAUAACCAUUACCUUUUAAACAAUACUGUGGUUAUAAUCACACCGCAAAUUUUAAUCAAAAUAUCCGUGGCAUAAAACGUUCAUAUUUUGACAUCCUGAACACUUAACACUUGGCCGUCACUCCAGCAGCACUGAGUGUGGACAAUUUUCAUUGCCAACAAAGAAAUACACUCAGAAAUUUAAUAAAAAAUUGGAAAAAAAACACGAUAUAACUGGUCAGAAAUUAUCAUAAUCCGCUCAUAAAAUGAGAUUUUAUUAUCAAAAAUAUUUCUUAAGUGAUUCAUCGUUUUUACUAUUCUAAAGUUUUAUUACACAAAUUUUAUCCUGAUACAUCUCCACUUUGUGAUAAAUGUAAAUCUGCUGAAGGAUCAUUGUCUCACUCGUUUUGGGGAUGUCCAAUUAUUCAACCAUUUUGGUCCAGCAUUUUCUUUUUUUACUUGGGGGUAUAUCAGAGAAAAAUUGUCCCUGAUAGGGAUAUGAUCUUAUUUGGGUGGUCUUCAGAAACACAAAAGCUUCCAAAACAUAUUAGAACUGUGUUGCUGCUUGGGACGGUUUUGGCCAAAAGACUCAUUCUCAGAGACUGGAAUACUCUAUCUGCACCCAACUUCAGGAACUGGUUAAAUGAACUUGUGAAUGUAAUGACUCUUGAAAAAAUAAGAUUUAUAAACUCUACAAAUAUGAAUAAAUGGGAAUUAACCUGGAAACCUUUACUGACAUAUAUUGAAGCAUAACUUAUAGACAUUUAAAGGAAAACUAAACUGCCAUUUUUUUGUAGUUGUAUUCCUUUUUUAUUUUUUAUUUUUAUUGUUAUUAUCUUUUGUACUGAUUCAACACUACAUUUGUUUUUCUUGUGUCACUUUUGAUAUGGUUUUGUCAUGGUUUACUUUCUUUUUUGUUCUGUUUUUUUUUUUUGUGAUUAUUGUUUUGUAUUUGAUCAAGCCCUGUAACUUUUCCUUUUUUUUUCCCUCUAAGUGUGUACGGUGGACAGGCCCUCGGGAGGUGAUCUUGUGAACACUUCCUGAGGAUCCUUGAUGCUGAGGUAUGUUCAUCCAUUUUGCUGUGAUCUCGAUAGCCUGCUGAUCGUGAGCCGCAGCGGGAUGGAUGGAUAUAUAUGUAUAUAUAUAUAUAUAUGUAUGGAUAUAUAUAUGUGUGUGUGUAUGUAUAUAUAUAUAUACAAUAUUUGGGUAUAUUUUCUAAUAAUGUCUGUACUGUAAACCUUGAGUUGUUAAAGUUCAUGUGCACCUCUCUCCUCAAGUGUGUGUGUG